rnacentral:misc_RNA from 1 species
AACAUCGCGCACCUGCGGGAACCUGCGGAGGGAUCAUUAUCGAGUUUACAACUCCCAAACCCCUGUGAACAUACCAAUCGUUGCCUCGGCGGGACCGCCCCCGGCGCCCCCGGGCCCGGACCCAGGCGCCCGCCGGAGGACCCCCAAACUCACUUGAUUCCACGGUGUAUCUUCUGAGUGACACAAGCAAAUAAAAUCAAAACUUUUAACAACGGAUCU